GCCAGAGUGGCGGAAUUGGCAGACGCGCGGGACUCAAAAUCCCGUGGCCCUCGGGUCGUGUGGGUUCGACUCCCACCUCUGGCA
rnacentral:tRNA from 1 species